rnacentral:rRNA from 1 species
AUGCCCGAGCUCCUGCGAGAGAGGAGCUCCCGAGCAACGGUCGCAUCCUCAAAGCCUCCCCGACCCGCUUUCCGGCCGCACCUCCUCUGUUUUUUCUCCCUCCACCUGCGCCUUGGGAACAUUGGAAAAGAGGAUAAGAUCCCCAAUCCUCCAUCGGCCCUCUCGACCUCUCCAGCCGGCGAGCGACGCUGUCGGCGGUCCAGGCCAGAUCCGGUGUUGGCUCCCCUCCACAGCUUCUUCUCCCUGCCUCCUAUCUUCCACUCCGGCUUCAAGGUCGCGUGGAUCCGCCUUCCGGCCAGGCCCAACGCCGCGCGGCGCAUCAUCGCAGGGAUUCGUCGACCGUCGCUAGUCGUCCUCGCCGAUGGCCGCGGGCGCCUCGGGCACAGCUGCCUAGGUCACCAUCUGGCCUCCACCAUGCCGGACUCCGACGGGUUCGCAACAGUUCCGAAAACCCGCGGCACAGAGUUGUUAGAGAAUACGCAGCCCCGACGGCUACACGCGCCAGCUCUUCUUCCUGACUCCAUCCCCUCACUGGCUCAGUAUCAAGCUAGUGUGCUUGCUGGCAUGGGGAGAUUGAGAAGUCAGACAUCUGGAUUUUGGUGUAGAACACAUGUUAUGCUCUGGGCAUAUGAAGUUCCAAGAGCAAGAAACAUUGUGAUCCUUAAGUCCUUCACACUCAUUCUUACUGGUCAUGCACUAGAAAUGAUCAUGCCAUCUUAUGUAUCACUUCAUAUGUAUCAUGUACAGGUCGCCCGGCCUUGGAACGUAAAGGAGUAUAACAUGGAAACGGUCGGGUGUGGCGCUCGGGUCGACCCGUCCAAGCGUUUAUCAGUUCCAAGCUUUGAAUUGUGGAAGAAGUUGGUGGAAACGACGGCGGCCAAAUCGCUCGCCUAUUUUUUGGCGAGCCAACGACGCCCACGAAUUGGUAAGGCGGGGCUGGGCAAGAACCAAACAGACCCUAUAUUACUUUUGACUCUUUCUUCAGUGUUCCACCAUGACCAAGAAGGUGAUGCAUUGCCAUAUCUGUACUUCCUACCUCUGACCAGCCACUUCAUCCUCGCCCAAGGAGUAAGACCAAAAAUACAACCGCACCGCGUCACACAGUGGCCAGCGAUGUUUUAUUUUUUACCUCAAGUAGCCAGCAAUGUUGAUCCUAUAUGGAUCUCGGACCCGGAGAACACACACAAAAAUGAAUGGGUUACAGGAGGGAGAGAGAGAGGCCAGCUAGCUAGGCACGUCGCCGUCCCUGGCUAUAUACGGGGAGGUCUCACCACCAUCGAUCACACACACACGGACAAAAAGGUGGUGACGAUGACCCGGACAAGCCUGCUCCUCGCCCUCCUCCUAGCUGCGUUCGCCGCCACGCUCGCUGGCGCAUUCGGCGUUCUGCUCAAUGGGACUACCGCGUUCUACGAUUUGGUGUUUUGCUCCCCAGCCAGCUUUGUCAAUCUCCGCCACUGCACACAUGGGUAUCUGGGUCAUGGGUCAUGGGAGACGGUGCAGUCACUUCUUCUGAUAUUGCCAUCAAUCCCUUCCCGGCAGCUACGGAUGACUAGGGAAAGGAGAUCUGGUGGACGCAUGCACGUCUUCCAGAACCGUCAACCGACGAAAUUGUGGUGGCAGCUGCGGAUCUGCGGUUAUGAUCCUCUGGCUUUUCUGCAAUCUCAGCAUGUUCUCACGGUGUGCGUUUUGAGCCUUAGCCAUUGGGAACAUUGCCGUGUUCUGCUCAACAGGACUGCCACGUUCUACGGCGACCACACGGCGCGGGGAACCAAGGUACUACUCAAAUAUUGUAACAUGUACACUGAUUUUUAUGCACCUAUAUAUGUUGCUUAUGUUCUUGCUGCUUUUCUUUUAGCUGGAAUUUGCGGCUACGGCCCCGCGGUAGCCGAACCACCCUUCUCGUCCUUGGUGGAAUUCAAACCAAUACACUAG